rnacentral:lncRNA from 1 species
UAGAAUUACUAAAGUUAUUUUUUCUCAGAAUAAGAAUCCUUAAAUUUGACAGUUCACCAAGAAAUUCAGGAAUCCUGCCUGACAAGUGAUUGUCGCCUAUAUCUAAAGUUAAAGCAUUACUCAAGUUCCAGAAGGAACCAGGAAUUGGUCCUGUAAAUUUGUUCGAACUCAAAUGGAGAUGCUUCAAACCUUGGAAAUUUAAGCACGAUGGGAUAGGUCCUGAAAAAUAAUUUUUUGAUAUAUCAAGAAACGUGAAUGGAGCUGUUCCACAAGAAAACGAACCUCCCAAGCUAUUAUUUCUUAUCACAAGUUCCCUCAUGUAAGGCAAGUCACUUAUCCAAACAGGGACCAAACCGGUAAAAAGGUUAUUGCUAAUAUCCAAAAGACUUAUUCUACCAGUGGAAGUUAUUGCUAUUAUUUCGUCACUUGUUUCACUUCCAAUUUUCCCGGUGAAAGAGUUGCUAUCUAAGUGAAGCCGGUCAAUGUUAUACCAAUUUAAGUUUCUUGAAAGUACCUCGCCAUGAAAAGUGUUGUUUGAUAGUUUUAAUAUCUCCAAAUUAGGGAGGUUUGUGAACAAUUCAAUUGGUACUUCCCCAGACAAGGCAUUAUGAGAUAGAUCCAGGUGUUCUAGCAAACUCAAAUCACCAACUGAAGACGGGAUUACACCAUGUAAAGAAUUUCUGGAUAAAUUCAACCGAGUUAUAUGGGGAAGGUACUUUUGUAUAUCUCUAGGAAUAUCACCUAUAAUGUCAUUGUCGGACACAUCCAAUUUCUGUGUAUUCCUAUUCGUAUAAAACGCCAAAGAAAACUUGCCGCCAAAUGAAUUGUUUCUCAGACUAAGAACUUCCAGCAUUGUGUUAUUUUUAAUUAACCAAUUUGGAAAUUGUCCCUUUAAAGAGUUGUGUGACAUGUCUAGUUCCUGUAAUUCAUUCUGAUGAAGUAGAAAGCCAGGAACUACACUUCCUUUCUGCCUAUUUAAGUUGCAAUUUGACAGUAUAAGAACUUUCAACCUGAACAUUGGAGUCCAACCUAUAGGCUCCUCUGUUUCCACCGUUAACGUGUCAUUCUCAUUUAUGAAUGCAACAACCUCAAGGUUUUUGUUACUUGAGAAUGAGCUGAAUGAGAACGAACCUUCAAAUUUGUUAUGGCUAAAAUCUAUGUACUUGAGAGAUUUGAGAUUAGCAAUAACCGACGGCAGAAUUACUCCGGUGAAUCGAUUUGAAGAAAUAUCAAACAACGUAAGAGACGACAGCUUAUUGAAACAUUCAAAUAAUUUUCCAUCAAACAUGUUGUGACUAAGAUCGAGCUCUUUGAGGUUCUUUAAUUCCAACAAUCCUGUCAAAAUAGAAGAUUCGUUGUUAGUUCACCCUUUAAAAGUAAAAAUGACUUGCACUUGCACGGUCAUUCAAAGUUAGAAAGAUUAACCAAGUAUAGGGCAAUGAAAUUGUAACAAAGUAUUUGCAAAAAAAAAAAAUAUUUUAGAGAACAUACCAUGAUUGGAUAACGACCCGUUUAGAUUAUUGUGAGCGAACGAGACAACUUCAAGAGAAUAUAAUAACUUUAUUGUUGAUGGGAUGCUUCCAACAAAAUUGUUGUAACUCAAAUCUAAGGCCUUCAGAUGGUGAAAAUAUUUCAAAUCUGAAUAAAUGACAAUAAGAGAGCAUCCUUGUAUAGUUUAUUAAAUAGACUGGAAUUUUGAUACGAGACAAAAUAUCAUGGUUAUGCAUAACUUGACUAAUUGUACUGAACCAUCUAGGGCACAUCUAAAAUUCUUAUUUCACUUACUUUUUUUUUUAUUGUGAACUUAUUAGUGUGAUAUUUGUUUCAACAUCAGAUCAAAACAUGUUUGGUAAGCACUUAUUUUUAUGUCUAUAAAAGAAGAAAUGUCCGGGUUUCGGGAUCAAAACCGUGAUUUUCAUGAUUAUGUUCAAAGAUGGAAGAGCUAGAGAUGAUAAACAAACAAACUUUGUAUUAAUCCAGUAGUAAAACAUUACAAGUCGGCCCGAUUACAUGAUAACCGAACUAAUACCAAAGAAGUAUACAUCCAGGGAGAAAUCAAGUGGUGAUUUCUCCCGGUGAGGUC